GGGUUGUGAGGUUAAGCGACUAAGCGUACACGGUGGAUGCCCUGGCAGUCAGAGGCGAUGAAGGACGUGCUAAUCUGCGAUAAGCGUCGGUAAGGUGAUAUGAACCGUUAUAACCGGCGAUUUCCGAAUGGGGAAACCCAGUGUGUUUCGACACACUAUCAUUAACUGAAUCCAUAGGUUAAUGAGGCGAACCGGGGGAACUGAAACAUCUAAGUACCCCGAGGAAAAGAAAUCAACCGAGAUUCCCCCAGUAGCGGCGAGCGAACGGGGAGCAGCCCAGAGCCUGAAUCAGUAUGUGUGUUAGUGGAAGCGUCUGGAAAGGCGCGCGAUACAGGGUGACAGCCCCGUACACAAAAAUGCACAUGCUGUGAGCUCGAUGAGUAGGGCGGGACACGUGGUAUCCUGUCUGAAUAUGGGGGGACCAUCCUCCAAGGCUAAAUACUCCUGACUGACCGAUAGUGAACCAGUACCGUGAGGGAAAGGCGAAAAGAACCCCGGCGAGGGGAGUGAAAAAGAACCUGAAACCGUGUACGUACAAGCAGUGGGAGCACGCUUAGGCGUGUGACUGCGUACCUUUUGUAUAAUGGGUCAGCGACUUAUAUUCUGUAGCAAGGUUAACCGAAUAGGGGAGCCGAAGGGAAACCGAGUCUUAACUGGGCGUUAAGUUGCAGGGUAUAGACCCGAAACCCGGUGAUCUAGCCAUGGGCAGGUUGAAGGUUGGGUAACACUAACUGGAGGACCGAACCGACUAAUGUUGAAAAAUUAGCGGAUGACUUGUGGCUGGGGGUGAAAGGCCAAUCAAACCGGGAGAUAGCUGGUUCUCCCCGAAAGCUAUUUAGGUAGCGCCUCGUGAAUUCAUCUCCGGGGGUAGAGCACUGUUUCGGCAAGGGGGUCAUCCCGACUUACCAACCCGAUGCAAACUGCGAAUACCGGAGAAUGUUAUCACGGGAGACACACGGCGGGUGCUAACGUCCGUCGUGAAGAGGGAAACAACCCAGACCGCCAGCUAAGGUCCCAAAGUCAUGGUUAAGUGGGAAACGAUGUGGGAAGGCCCAGACAGCCAGGAUGUUGGCUUAGAAGCAGCCAUCAUUUAAAGAAAGCGUAAUAGCUCACUGGUCGAGUCGGCCUGCGCGGAAGAUGUAACGGGGCUAAACCAUGCACCGAAGCUGCGGCAGCGACGCUGAUGCGUUGUUGGGUAGGGGAGCGUUCUGUAAGCCUGUGAAGGUGUGCUGUGAGGCAUGCUGGAGGUAUCAGAAGUGCGAAUGCUGACAUAAGUAACGAUAAAGCGGGUGAAAAGCCCGCUCGCCGGAAGACCAAGGGUUCCUGUCCAACGUUAAUCGGGGCAGGGUGAGUCGACCCCUAAGGCGAGGCCGAAAGGCGUAGUCGAUGGGAAACAGGUUAAUAUUCCUGUACUUGGUGUUACUGCGAAGGGGGGACGGAGAAGGCUAUGUUGGCCGGGCGACGGUUGUCCCGGUUUAAGCGUGUAGGCUGGUUUUCCAGGCAAAUCCGGAAAAUCAAGGCUGAGGCGUGAUGACGAGGCACUACGGUGCUGAAGCAACAAAUGCCCUGCUUCCAGGAAAAGCCUCUAAGCAUCAGGUAACAUCAAAUCGUACCCCAAACCGACACAGGUGGUCAGGUAGAGAAUACCAAGGCGCUUGAGAGAACUCGGGUGAAGGAACUAGGCAAAAUGGUGCCGUAACUUCGGGAGAAGGCACGCUGAUAUGUAGGUGAAGUCCCUCGCGGAUGGAGCUGAAAUCAGUCGAAGAUACCAGCUGGCUGCAACUGUUUAUUAAAAACACAGCACUGUGCAAACACGAAAGUGGACGUAUACGGUGUGACGCCUGCCCGGUGCCGGAAGGUUAAUUGAUGGGGUUAGCGCAAGCGAAGCUCUUGAUCGAAGCCCCGGUAAACGGCGGCCGUAACUAUAACGGUCCUAAGGUAGCGAAAUUCCUUGUCGGGUAAGUUCCGACCUGCACGAAUGGCGUAAUGAUGGCCAGGCUGUCUCCACCCGAGACUCAGUGAAAUUGAACUCGCUGUGAAGAUGCAGUGUACCCGCGGCAAGACGGAAAGACCCCGUGAACCUUUACUAUAGCUUGACACUGAACAUUGAGCCUUGAUGUGUAGGAUAGGUGGGAGGCUUUGAAGUGUGGACGCCAGUCUGCAUGGAGCCGACCUUGAAAUACCACCCUUUAAUGUUUGAUGUUCUAACGUUGACCCGUAAUCCGGGUUGCGGACAGUGUCUGGUGGGUAGUUUGACUGGGGCGGUCUCCUCCUAAAGAGUAACGGAGGAGCACGAAGGUUGGCUAAUCCUGGUCGGACAUCAGGAGGUUAGUGCAAUGGCAUAAGCCAGCUUGACUGCGAGCGUGACGGCGCGAGCAGGUGCGAAAGCAGGUCAUAGUGAUCCGGUGGUUCUGAAUGGAAGGGCCAUCGCUCAACGGAUAAAAGGUACUCCGGGGAUAACAGGCUGAUACCGCCCAAGAGUUCAUAUCGACGGCGGUGUUUGGCACCUCGAUGUCGGCUCAUCACAUCCUGGGGCUGAAGUAGGUCCCAAGGGUAUGGCUGUUCGCCAUUUAAAGUGGUACGCGAGCUGGGUUUAGAACGUCGUGAGACAGUUCGGUCCCUAUCUGCCGUGGGCGCUGGAGAACUGAGGGGGGCUGCUCCUAGUACGAGAGGACCGGAGUGGACGCAUCACUGGUGUUCGGGUUGUCAUGCCAAUGGCACUGCCCGGUAGCUAAAUGCGGAAGAGAUAAGUGCUGAAAGCAUCUAAGCACGAAACUUGCCCCGAGAUGAGUUCUCCCUGACUCCUUGAGAGUCCUGAAGGAACGUUGAAGACGACGACGUUGAUAGGCCGGGUGUGUAAGCGCAGCGAUGCGUUGAGCUAACCGGUACUAAUGAACCGUGAGGCUUAACCUUACAACGCCGAAG
rnacentral:rRNA from 1 species